GGGUAGUCUCCCAAGAUGGUGGCCGAAGUCGCCUCCUGCCCUGAGUGGAAAUGGCUGCGGUUGCCACGCUUCUUCACGUGCCACGUGGUUUUGGAUUAAGAACUGGAGAUCUCGGCAAUGCAGCUGAUGGUGCUGGGGACUGCAGAGAAACCUGCCCAGCUGAGUACGGAUGACAGAGGAACCCAGAAAAGUGAGCUUCGGACUUCUGUUCUUUUUCUUCUGGAGGAUGUCCUUCUGAUUGGCAUGUUCUGAGACUGGCCUGCCAGGGCAAAGGAGGGGAGGAAGGACUGUGUGUGUUUGUGGGUGUUUUAAGGGACUUUGGGAUUUUAACGGUGAAAUUCUGUCAUUACCCUAAACCUGUGUAACUUUUGAAUAAAUAGUUCCUUUGCUUUUUAUCA